rnacentral:rRNA from 1 species
AGUCGAGCGAGGUCCAUCCAGUGGUAACACUGGUGAAGACCUAGCGGCGAACGGGUGAGUAACACGUGAGAAACCUGCCCCGAAGACUGGGAUAACUCUCCGAAAGGAGAGCUAAUACCAGAUGCCCUCACCGGGCCGCAUGACUUGGUGAGGAAAUGGAUUCCGCUUCGGGAGGGUCUCGCGGCCUAUCAGCUUGUUGGUGAGGUAACGGCUCACCAAGGCUUCGACGGGUAGCUGGUCUGAGAGGAUGAUCAGCCACACUGGGACUGAGACACGGCCCAGACUCCUACGGGAGGCAGCAGUGGGGAAUCUUGCGCAAUGGGCGAAAGCCUGACGCAGCAACGCCGCGUGGGGGAUGAAGGCUCUCGGGUUGUAAACCCCUUUCAGCAGGGAAGAUUAUGACGGUACCUGCAGAAGAAGCCCCGGCCAACUACGUGCCAGCAGCCGCGGUAAUACGUAGGGGGCAAGCGUUGUCCGGAUUUAUUGGGGCGUAAAGAGCUUGUAGGCGGCUUGGUAAGUCGAGUGUGAAAACUCCAGGCUCAACCUGGAGACGCCAUUCGAUACUGCCAUGGCUAGAGUCCGGUAGAGGAGCACGGAAUUCCUGGUGUAGCGGUGAAAUGCGCAGAUAUCAGGAGG